GUCAGGUUCACUCUUUUCUCCUUCCUGCCUUCAUUUCCUGAAUCACAUCCUUUUGAGCAUGUGUGAUGACAAGGCAGGGCUGGACCCUGGGCCUGCAGCAGUGAACCGGCCCAGUCACCUGCCCUAAGGGGUCUUGCAGGAGGAACCCCCAGAAUGACGGCUGUCUCCUCAAACAGGAACUUUGGAAGCCAGAAGCAGACACUGCAGGUAUUUCACAUAACAAGAGUGGAGAUGGGGGUAGAAGGCGCCUCACUCUUUUAAACAAUUACAUCUCACAUGAGCUCAGAGUGAGAACUCACUCACUGUCAUGAGGAUGGCACCAACAUGUUCAUGAGGGACCCACCCCCAUAAUCCAAACACCACCCACCAGGCCCACCUCGCCACUGGGGACUACACUUCCAGAGACUUCUGAAAUCCCACCAGGCCCACCUCUACCACCGGGGAUUACACUUCCGGAGAUUUCUGAAAUGCCUUUGAGGCCUUUUCCCCAUGAGAUUUAGAAGAGACAGACAUCUAAACCGUAUCAUUCCACCCUGGGCUUCCCGAAUCUCAUGUCCUUCUCACAUUGCAAAGUAAGAUCGUCCCUUCUCAGUAGCUCUGCAAAGUCUUAACUCGUCCCAGCAUCAACACAACCAAAAGCCUCCAGUCCCAGGUUCAGUCUCAUCUG
rnacentral:lncRNA from 1 species